CAAUCGAUGCUGUAUGUUAGCAACAUUGUUGUGGUUUUCAUAAUGGUGAUGGAAAUCCUGUUGAGAGGUACGCAUGAGGCUGCUUUUUAUGGGCUGGAAAGCAGAUGUUUUGUACACAAAUUUGGUUGUUGAUGCCCCUGCUGGCUCACUUAUAACUGCAGACUUGGUAAAAGCAUUAUUGUUGUGGAAUCCGUAUCAAUGUUAUUGCUACCGCCAUUUGAAUUCUGGUUAGGAGGAUUGUCGCUAGAGUGAGAUUGAACAUCAAGAGACGAAUCUUUCUUUGUAACUUCUAAACUGUUAUUAUGCGGAGAGGAGUGAAUUGAGGUGCUUUUUGAUUAUAAGUUAUUCAUAUGUCAUGUACAUGAAUGAUUAUGAUUGAAUGUGUUAAUACCUUAGGAUUGGCAUUAAUUUUGUAAAA
rnacentral:lncRNA from 1 species